rnacentral:rRNA from 1 species
UACAGAGGGAGCAAGCGUUAUUCGGAAUUAUUGGGCGUAAAGGGCGCGUAGGCGGCUUUGCAAGUGACGGGUGAAAUCCCUCGGCUUAACCGAGGAACUGCCUGUCAAACUGCAUGGCUUGAGACCGGGAGAGGUGAGUGGAAUUCCCAGUGUAGCGGUGAAAUGCGUAGAUAUUGGGAGGAACACCAGUGGCGAAGGCGGCUCACUGGACCGGUACUGACGCUGAUGCGCGAAAGCGUGGAGAGCAAACAGG